CUCGUAGUUGGAUCUCGGUGCCGGUCUGGCGGUCCGCCUCGCCGCGGUCUCACUGCCAGUCCCGGAGCCAUCCCGCCGGCCUUCCCUCGGUGCUCUUUACCGAGUGUCUUGGGUGACCGGAACGUUUACUUUGAACAAAUUAGAGUGCUCCAAGCAGGCGCGUCCCGCCCGCAUAGCCCAGCAUGGAAUAAUGGAAUAGGACCUCGGUUCUAUUUUGUUGGUUUUCGGAACCCGAGGUAAUGAUUAAUAGGGACAGACGGGGGCAUUCGUAUUGCGACGCUAGAGGUGAAAUUCUUGGACCGUCGCAAGACGAACUACUGCGAAAGCAUUUGCCAAGAAUGUUUUCAUUAAUCAAGAACGAAAGUUAGAGGUUCGAAGGCGAUCAAAUACCGCCCUAGUUCUAACCAUAAACGAUGCCGACCAGCGAUCCGCCGGAGUUCCUCCGAUGACUCGGCGGGCAGCUUCCGGGAAACCAAAGUGUUUGGGUUCCGGGGGAA
rnacentral:rRNA from 1 species